UGGCUCAGUGGUAGAGCACUUGCCUUGCAUGCAGGAAGCCCUGGGUUUGAUUCCUCAG
rnacentral:tRNA from 1 species